rnacentral:rRNA from 1 species
GGGGGGGGGGGCCUAUACAUGCAAGUCGAGCGAACAGACAAGGAGCUUGCUCCUUUGACGUUAGCGGCGGACGGGUGAGUAACACGUGGGUAACCUACCUAUAAGACUGGGAUAACUUCGGGAAACCGGAGCUAAUACCGGAUAAUAUUUCGAACCGCAUGGUUCGAUAGUGAAAGAUGGUUUUGCUAUCACUUAUAGAUGGACCCGCGCCGUAUUAGCUAGUUGGUAAGGUAACGGCUUACCAAGGCGACGAUACGUAGCCGACCUGAGAGGGUGAUCGGCCACACUGGAACUGAGACACGGUCCAGACUCCUACGGGAGGCAGCAGUAGGGAAUCUUCCGCAAUGGGCGAAAGCCUGACGGAGCAACGCCGCGUGAGUGAUGAAGGUCUUCGGAUCGUAAAACUCUGUUAUUAGGGAAGAACAUACGUGUAAGUAACUAUGCACGUCUUGACGGUACCUAAUCAGAAAGCCACGGCUAACUACGUGCCAGCAGCCGCGGUAAUACGUAGGUGGCAAGCGUUAUCCGGAAUUAUUGGGCGUAAAGCGCGCGUAGGCGGUUUUUUAAGUCUGAUGUGAAAGCCCACGGCUCAACCGUGGAGGGUCAUUGGAAACUGGAAAACUUGAGUGCAGAAGAGGAAAGUGGAAUUCCAUGGUGUAGCGGUGAAAUGC